CCCUUAGAUGUUCUGGGCCGCACGCGCGCUACACUGAUGCAUUCAACGAGUUUCUUCCUGGUCCGAGAGGAAUAGGUAACCUUUUGAAAGUGCAUCGUGAUAGGGAUAGACUAUUGCAAUUAUUGGUCUUCAACGAGGAAUUCCUAGUAGACGUAGUUCAUCAGACUGCAUCGAUUACGUCCCUGCCCUUUGUACACACCGCCCGUCGCUCCUACCGAUUGAAUGCUCAGGUGAGCCAUUCGGACUUUCAUCAUGCUGGUUUCCAGUUUUGAUGAAGGAAAGUCUUGCGAACCUUAUCAUUUAGAGGAAGGAGAAGUCGUAACA
rnacentral:rRNA from 1 species